rnacentral:misc_RNA from 1 species
GAUGAAGAACGUAGCAAAAUGCGAUAAGUAAUGUGAAUUGCAGAAUUCAGUGAAUCAUCGAAUCUUUGAACGCACAUUGCGCCCCUCGGUAUUCCGUGGGGCAUGUCUGUUCGAGCGUCAUUUAACCCCUCAAGCCUAGCUUGGUAUUGGGUGCUUGUCCCGCCUCUCGCGCGGCGACUCACCUCAAAGUCAUUGGCAGCCCGCAUCUCGCCGGCCGUGAGCGCAGCACAGACGCGCUCUUGGCAACGACGGAUCGGCUCUCCAAAAGCUUAUUUCAACCACUGACCUCGGAUCAGGUAGGGAUACCCGCUGAACUUAAGCAUAUCAAUAAGCGGAGGA